rnacentral:lncRNA from 1 species
AGCAAGUACCACCUAUAAGUAAUGGGUGUUGGAAGUGAGAGAUAUCUUACUCCAUACUCUCUUUGUGUAUAACCUUGCUGAUGCUAAGUGUUGUGUCAUCUAAGUACUUAAUUUCUUAAUAGGUUAUGGGUCCACUCAUCUUUACUUGUGAGUUUUGAAGUACUUUGAAGUCUUGAAUUUGAGUUUGAGUUUGUAUUUGUAAUCUUCUAAUCUUUUUUAUGCAUCUAUUUGUAGAUGUAAUUUUGCACUUAUUUAUCAUUAAAUAUACUCACAGUCUUUGUUGAUGUUAGACUCCAUAUAAUGAUAUUUUAGAACUCUAGUGUUAUAUUUUAUUGCUGAAAUUUAUCAUUGAUGUUCUA